rnacentral:sRNA from 12 species
CCCUGACAGCGAAAGCUGACACUAGCCAAGACAGGAGUAUCACAUG